rnacentral:rRNA from 1 species
UACGUAGGGGGCAAGCGUUGUCCGGAUUUAUUGGGCGUAAAGAGCGUGUAGGCGGCUUUACAGGUCCGUUGUGAAAACUCGAGGCUCAACCUCGAGACGCCGGUGGAAACCGUAAAGCUAGAGUCCGGAAGAGGAGAGUGGAAUUCCUGGUGUAGCGGUGAAAUGCGCAGAUAUCAGGAAGAACACCUAUGGCGAAGGCAGCUCUCUGGGACGGUACUGACGCUGAGACGCGAAAGCGUGGGGAGCGAACAGG